AGUGAACGCUGGCGGUAGGCCUAACACAUGCAAGUCGAACGGCAGCACAGUAAGAGCUUGCUCUUACGGGUGGCGAGUGGCGGACGGGUGAGGAAUACAUCGGAAUCUACUUUUUCGUGGGGGAUAACGUAGGGAAACUUACGCUAAUACCGCAUACGACCUACGGGUGAAAGCAGGGGAUCUUCGGACCUUGCGCGAUUGAAUGAGCCGAUGUCGGAUUAGCUAGUUGGCGGGGUAAAGGCCCACCAAGGCGACGAGCCGUAGCUGGUCUGAGAGGAUGAUCAGCCACACUGGAACUGAGCCACGGUCCAGACUCCUACGAGAGGCAGCAGUGGGGAAUAUUGGACAAUGGGCGCAAGCCUGAUCCAGCCAUCCCGCGUGGGUGAAGAAGGCCUUCGGGUUGUAAAGCCCUUUUGUUGGGUAAGAAACGCAGCAGGUUAAUACCCCGCUGUUCUGACGGUACCCAAAGAAUAAGCACCGGCUAACUUCGUG
rnacentral:rRNA from 1 species